ensembl:snRNA U6 U6 spliceosomal RNA
GUGCUCACUCUGGCAGCACAUAUACUAAAAUUGGAACUAUACAGCGAUUAGCAUGGCCUCUGCACAAUGAUGACACACAAAUUCGUGAGGCGUUCCAUAUUUAA